GACAUUAAAUAUUAUAUACCUGCAGGCUGAUCAAUUAAGUGCUUGAAAAUAUAAAUAUAUAGGGGUUAAUUAUAUAUGUCGAAAUAAGGUUUCUUGCACUGGCAGCUAUGAAAUAAGCCUAGGAUUGUGCUCUAUCUAGUAGAAUUGGUGGCGUGUUAGGUUGUCUGUAGCCACCAUAUGUAUAUAUCUAAUGCAAUAACAUAUGGAGUAUAACAAAAAGAACAAAAAAAGAAAGGAUUGUCGACGAUCUUAACUCGUCACCUAUGAUUAAUAAAUAAGCUGUGUGUUUAUUAUAGACAAGUUUGUUUUCUGCUUUUUUGUAUAUUGUUUUAAUCCUCUCAAAGGGGAUGAACUUACAUAUCUUAAUUUGUUCUGAUAUAAUUAACAAAGAUUAUUAUUCUA
rnacentral:lncRNA from 1 species